AGAUUGAACGCUGGCGGCAUGCCUUACACAUGCAAGUCGAACGGCAGCACGGGGGCAACCCUGGUGGCGAGUGGCGAACGGGUGAGUAACAUAUCGGAACGUGCCCUGGAGUGGGGGGAUAACUAGUCGAAAGAUUAGCUAAUACCGCAUACGAUCUACGGAUGAAAGUGGGGGAUCGCAAGACCUCAUGCUCGUGGAGCGGCCGAUAUCUGAUUAGCUAGUUGGUGGGUAAAGGCCUACCAAGGCAUCGAUCAGUAGCUGGUCUGAGAGGACGACCAGCCACACUGGGACUGAGACACGGCCCAGACUCCUACGGGAGGCAGCAGUGGGAAUUUUGGACAAUGGGGGCAACCCUGAUCCAGCAAUGACCGCGUGAGUAGAAGAGGCCUUCGGUGUAAGCUCUUUGUCAGGAAGAACGGACGGGCGUAAUA
rnacentral:rRNA from 1 species